AGAAGUAUUUAAACGAUUAACCCUGCAACCAGUAACUGUAUGAGAACACUGAAAACAGUGUUUUUAAAUCUUGUUUCUCAAAGAUUUUGCAUCUGUGAGAAAAAGUAUGUGAUGAUGACAAGAGGUUGAUUGUUACAGUGAUACACAAUGCAAGUGAAUGCCGUAGCUAAACGUGUGCUAUGCCUUUUGUCAGAGCAAUUGAACUUUACCAGCAAUGAAUUCAGUGGCUGUUGCAGGACAGCAGAAAGGUAACUUUAACUUUGCAGUGCAUUUUUAGAACCAUAUAUGGCAUUAAAGAAUAAAUUAACUUUUGAAUACUAGUGAAAAGUGGCUUCCAGAAAGGUUGUGUAUUUUCAUUAUUUACUGUGAAUUACAUAUGCAGUGAUACUUACCUUGUCAAGGAAUUGUUUUUCUUGAUCUUUUAUUGGUAUGUGGUUUUCUGCUUUCUAGAUCUUGUCUUUCUCUUUUUCUUUGCAGUCUUAAUCAUCAGGACAAUGCCAAGUUUAAUCCCUGACUGGGGUGGAACUGUCUUGUAGUCCCUUGUGCCCUCUGUGCCCCUUGUGCACAGCUGAAUAAUCAGUUACUGUCCCUAGGGGUGCUAACGCUCAGGAAUGGGAAAGGGAUGUAACUCUCUCUCAAAGGGGAUAGAGAAAGAAGCAGCAUUCCAAAAUCUAGCUUCCACAAAGUUGCUUCAUUUAACCUGAAGCACAUGAUGUAGACUUUAUUUUAAAAGUUAUUUUUUAUCCUCUCAAAUAAGGUUGUCGUGGGAAGGAGGGAGUAUGAUUCACUGGUAAGGAUAAACUGGGAGCCAGUAGGCCUCUCUCUAAUUUUUUUUUUUUUCUUUUUGGCUUUGUCACUGUCAUCUUUAGGAUAAAAAGUUUAAAAUGAAAAACUUAAUAUAUUUUUUUUUUAAUUGUACAGAAUAAACAGUAAAAUUAUCUAACUUCAGAUAGGCUUAGUAUUUAUAAUUACUUUUGUCUUUUAAGGUAUUUGGCCUAAUAAAGGGAACGAAAGUUGGACUUAUGGUUGUUGUGUCUCAUAUGAGUUAUGGACCUAAACUACUGGAUUUUCAGAAGGACCUUUUGUGCUUAAUAGAUGAACAGCUAUGUUAUAAGAAGCAAUUGUACUGCCUCUCAUUCAGUACAGAAAUUUCACCUCUGUGGGAGAGUCCAAAAAACAUCAAUGUUCAUGUGAAAGCUACAUGAAGCAAGACAGUGGAUACAACAGCUGGAGCCUGGUCAAGGCUGCAAUUUGCUGAAAGUCUUAAAGCAUGUCCUUACGAUGAAAGAUCUGAAUUCGCUGGUUGUUAUUGUAGGAAGCUGCCCUGAUCAGACUUUUGAAAUACUGUCUGAUUACGCUCAGCAGCAUAUGCUGGGGAGGAAACUGCAGACUCAUGCUGUUACAUAUGAUUGCAGCAAUCCUGCUUCUCUUGUACAGUACACCAAAAGUAUCCAAAGAUAACAUGCAUAAGAAAGCCUGUUCCCUCUGUUACGUUGCCAAAAAAAGAGGAAAUCUGUUCAAGCAAAGAGUGGCUAACCAAGUACAGUAUUAAAAAGCUUAAACUGGAAUUGCCCAGGCUGAUGUUUGGUCCAGGCUGUACUCACCAGAAGAAAACUGUGAAGUCUCUGCACAAGAAAGUAUCAGCAAAAUACUGUACUAUCUUCCCUAGUGUAGAAAUCAAUGUAAGCUUUUGCAGAUGUCAUAUACCUACUUCAUUGAAAGACUUUGUGUAGGACAAUGCAUGUUGAUCAGUGGUUGUGGCUUGCGAGUGUGAUGUUACUUCCACUCUUCCCUGCUCUUCUAAGUUACUUUUGUAUUAGAAAGCUAGAGAAGGUCUUUUAUCCACCACAAAAAAUAUUUAGUAUGUUUGAAGUGGAAGCUGCAUGGAAUCUUUAGCAUGUAUAGGAAUCUCCUCUGCUCAUACAGUGUGAACAAUAAUUUUAAAAUGUUAAUCUUUUAAAAAUCAUGUAUGAGUCGAAACUGGGAAAAUAUUGUAUCUUGAUUGUUAAGGUUUAUGUAAUGACCAGAGAGAAGUGUAGAAAGUUAAAUCCAGGAUAUUAUUGCUCUAUUGUAUCUAUAUAACUGUCAGAAAUAAUACAACAGAUGCACCUGUCCAGUCAAAUUGUGUAAUUUUGUUGCCCAGUACAACUGGCUGAGAUGAGAGCUAGGCUUUCCUAAUUUGGGUAAAUCAGAUAUUUAGUAGCAACAGAGAUGCAGAAACUUUCUUACAAUAUUUCAUACAGGAAAAGACAAAAAACCUAAUCUCCUUGAUUUGUAAUGCAGACAUUGCAUAUAUAGCAGCUGAACUCAGAUCUCGUUAAGUAAGAUGCUCUUGUACAAACUGAAAU